rnacentral:ncRNA from 1 species
AUUCUUCGGGGCAGGGUGAAAUUCCCGACCGGCGGUAUAGCCCGCGAGCUAAAUAAUUUUAGUUGAUUUGGUGAGAUUCCAAAGCCGACAGUAGAGUCUGGAUGAGAGAAGAUA